AGUCAAAUAUGAUUUUUUUUUUCUUUAAUUUCUUUUUAAAAAUUGUGUUUCAUUUUUAAACUAAAUUAUAUAACUAGUUCAUAAUUAUAAUUUAUGAUAAUCAUAUAAAAUAUCUUUAUUAACAAAUAUUAUGCGGAAUAUUUGUUGUAACAUCCCAAUUUAGUAAUAUAAAACUACUAAAAUGAACAUUUACAUAGAUAAUGAUAUAACAAACUAUAGAUUUGCGAAAAAUAAAAUUCUUCACCUGAAGGACCAA
rnacentral:lncRNA from 1 species